AAUGGACGAAAGUCUGACGCAGCAACGCCGCGUGAGGGAUGACGGCCUUCGGGUUGUAACCUCUUUCAGCAGGGACGAAGCGAGAGUGACGGUACCUGCAGAAGAAGGACCGGCCAACUACGUGCCAGCAGCCGCGGUAAUACGUAGGGUCCGAGCGUUGUCCGGAAUUAUUGGGCGUAAAGGGCUCGUAGGCGGUUCGUCACGUCGGGAGUGAAAACUCGGAGCUCAACUCCGAGCCUGCUUCCGAUACGGGCAGACUAGAGGUAGGCAGGGGAGAGCGGAACUCCUGGUGUAGCGGUGGAAUGCGCAGAUAUCAGGAAGAACACCGGUGGCGAAGGCGGCUCUCUGGGCCUUACCUGACGCUGAGGAGCGAAAGCGUGGGUAGCGAACAGGAUUAGAUACCCUGGUAGUCCACGCCGUAAACGUUGGGCGCUAGGUGUGGGGGACAUUCCACGUCCUCCGUGCCGCAGCUAACGCAUUAAGCGCCCCGCCUGGGGAGUACGGCCGCAAGGCUAAAACUCAAAGGAAUUGACGGGGGCCCGCACAAGCGGCGGAGCAUGCGGAUUAAUUCGAUGCAACGCGAAGAACCUUACCUGGGUUUGACAUAUAGGGAAAUCCUCCAGAGAUGGGGGGUCCGUAAGGGUCCUAUACAGGUGGUGCAUGGCUGUCGUCAGCUCGUGUCGUGAGAUGUUGGGUUAAGUCCCGCAACGAGCGCAACCCUCGUCCUAUGUUGCCAGCACGUUAUGGUGGGGACUCAUAGGAGACUGCCGGGGUCAACUCGGAGGAAGGUGGGGAUGACGUCAAGUCAUCAUGCCCCUUAUGUCCAGGGCUUCACGCAUGCUACAAUGGCCGGUACAAAGGGCUGCGAAACCGCAAGGUGGAGCGAAUCCCAAAAAGCCGGUCUCAGUUCGGAUUGGGGUCUGCAACUCGACCCCAUGAAGUCGGAGUCGCUAGUAAUCGCAGAUCAGCAACGCUGCGGUGAAUACGUUCCCGGGCCUUGUACACACCGCCCGUCACGUCAUGAAAGUCGGCAACACCCGAAGCCGGUGGCCUAACCCUUG
rnacentral:rRNA from 1 species